rnacentral:rRNA from 1 species
GACGAACCGUCCAAACGAUAUUCGGAAUCACUGGGCUUAAAGGGUGCGUAGGCUGCGCGGAAAGUUGGGUGUGAAAUCCCUCGGCUCAACCGAGGAACUGCGCCCAAUACUGCCGUGCUUGAGGAAGAUAGAGGUGAGCGGAACUUAGGGUGGAGCGGUGAAAUGCGUUGAUAUCCUAAGGAACACCGGUGGCGAAAGCGGCUCACUGGAUCUUUUCUGAGGCUGAGGCACGAAAGCUAGGGUAGCGAACGGU